rnacentral:rRNA from 1 species
UCAGUUCGGACUGGAGUCUGCAACCCGACUCCACGAAGCUGGAUUCGCUAGUAAUCGCGCAUCAGCCACGGCGCGGUGAAUACGUUCCCGGGCCUUGUACACACCGCCCGUCAGCCAUGGGAGCCGGGGGUACCUGAAGUGCGUAACCGCGAGGAUCGCCCUAGGGUAAAACUGGUGACUGGGGCUAAGUCGUAACAAGGUACC